UACGGGGGGGACCAGCGUUAUUCUUCAUGACUGGGCGUAAAGGGUGCGUAGGUCGUCCAUCUGGUUGAAAUAAAAAAUCCAGAGUUUAACUUUGGAAAAAUUUUCAAAACUGAUGUGACUGGAGUCCCAGAGAGGAUAGUAGAAUUUUUAGAGUAGUGAUGAAAUACAUAUAUACUAAAAGGAAUAUCACCAGCGAAGGCAACUGUCUGGAUGGUGACUGACGCUGAGGCACGAAAGUUUGGGGA
rnacentral:rRNA from 1 species